rnacentral:lncRNA from 1 species
GCGUGCCUCAGUGGGAGAGGACUUUGUUCUGUUGUCACUCUCCACCCCUGGAGGGGGCCUAGGCGUGGACAUAGGGAGGGACUCAGGGUCAUCUCUCUUCCAGACCAGAAGCACCACAUUGCAGUAGGAAGGUGACUUGGAGGACACCUCUCAUCCACCCUGAUCCAGGAUCCAGACUGGAAGGAUAGAGGCCUUAAGGAGAAAAGUAGCAUGACAGAUUGACAAAACCUCAAAAAGACCAGUGUGCUACAGUCAAAGGAGCAAGAGAGAGGUAUCAAGACAUGAAGGUCAAGAGGCAGGCACUGGAGACCUUGGCUUUUUGAGUUGAGUCUGUGUUGCAUGAUUUCCUUUGUCCACAAGGCAGUGAAGUCAACUCUGACCAGCCUUGCACUAUUUUCUUGUCUGUUCUGGCAAAACAAGGACUAUACAUCCACAUUUCAAUGUGAAGGUCCUAUAAAGAAGGAAAUUGUCAGAAGAGUUCUGCAGGGUUUCCAGUCCAGGAGCCGAUGUAAGUAGGGAGAAGAACAGUGCCAAGGAGAAACUGCUGUUGCCAAAGAGGAGGGAGGAAGAAGAGGAAGGAGGAAAGAGGCAAACAAACAAAACCUCAGACAAAACCCAGCUUUGCUAGCACACAGAUGGAUAAUGGGAAGACAAAGAUAUGGAGAGUUGGAUGCCUUUGGCAGUGAGUACAUUGGAAAGGCUCAUUCAGGCGACAUCAUCCAAGAGCUCUGCUCUGGGUAAAAAGAGAACAUCAGCUUGAAAAGCUUAAAAUUCUACUGGCAGACACUGUCUGACAUGGAAAUAUCUCUAACCUCAAGAUGAUUUGCAAUUAGCAUUCUUUCUAGUGGCACAGUAACUGCCUCACAUGAUUGCUAAGGAGAUUAAAUAAGGUAGAGCUUGAGAAAGACCCCAUUAAACUGUAACGGGCUAUUCAAUUUUAGCUAUUGUCAUUUUCAGAGUUACCAAAUAAAAUUCGACUUGCAUUUGCCUUUUCCAGAGUGGCAUAGAGUUGGAAACAUGCAGUCCG